rnacentral:tRNA from 1 species
GUGCUCGUAGCUCAGCUGGAUAGAGCGCAGGACUCCGACUCCUGAGGCCAGAGGUUCGAAUCCUCCCGGGCACACCA